rnacentral:tRNA from 4 species
GCGGGUGUAGUUCAAUGGUAGAAUGUCUGCUUCCCAAGCAGAAGGUUGUGGGUUCGAGCCCCAUCGCCCGCU